rnacentral:rRNA from 1 species
CCCUUAGAUGUUCUGGGCCGCACGCGCGCUACACUGAGUGUCUGAGAUACGAGUCUGCCUGGUCCGGCAAGGUCUAGGUAAUCGCUAAAAGACACAUCAUGCUUGGGAUAGAUUAUUGCAAAUAUUAAUCUUGAACGAGGAAUUCCUAGUAAGCGCAAGUCAACAGCUUGCGUUGAUUACGUCCCUGCCCUUUGUACACACCGCCCGUCGCUACUACUGAUUGGAUGUUUAAGCGAGGUUCUCGAACUGCUAGCGACUUAGCUUCGGUGAGGUCGCAGUGUGGGAAGUGAACCGAGCUUUGGUGUCUAGAGGAAGUAAAAGUCGUAACA